CACAAGGAGCAGGUAGAAGAUCCAGUGAUGGAUUUACUAAAACCAUAACAUCCAGAUAAAAUAAAAAACAAUUAUCCUUGUUCACAAGUCAGACUGCUCUCCAAACAGUGUUAGACACUGGAUGCCAUAUGUAUAUGCCGAAUGUAAGACAAAGUGUUCAAUAGACUCUCUUUGAGAUGGUAAAGGUGUUGGUUUCUGAAGCCCUGCUUAUGCGGGUUUUUUGUGAGACUGUAGUAGUCAUUCCGAGGUUCAUGAUAGAGGAUAGGAUGAGAGUAAGGUUGGUGCAGAAAAAGAACAAUAGGGGUACAGACAGAGAAAGAAAAAAAUAAACACCAAAACAAAGAGAGAACAUGACAGUAAAAUACUUAGAGGCUGUGUCACACAACCACUUGGUCCAUUUUACUCAUUUUUCACAGAUUUCUGUCUUUUCGUUACACAUGUGUGAUAUAUAUAAUUCAUAAAAAAAGUUUAUUGCGUUCGCCAUUCGUUAAUGUGAGCAAAUGUCUGUUGAGGGUUUCGGCCGACGGGUCUUUACGUGAAUUCGGUUUUGAGCUGUUCAAAAUUUUUGUUGCUUGAGAAUUACGCAGUUUUGGCAUGUUUGAAGUAAUUUAUACACAACCAUUGUGUAAAUCUUGUGCACUUGUGCGUCAUUUUUGCGAGAUGCAUAUCUGUGUCUUUCCAGGUCCGUUUCACAUAUGUCUAACGGACUUUUCACGUAUGUACCACCAAUGUAUAUAUUUUAUAUCACAUAUACACAUCAUGCACAAAUCACUAAUAAAUUGCCAAAAAAAAAGCACAAUAAUCACGCACUGUUCAUAUUCCACAUUAGUGUACGUGUUCUUUGCGUGGUUUAUUCAUACUUUUUCCACGGUUUUAUUGUGGUUCUUCUGUGAAUAUUUCACUUGAAAACCACAACUUUUCUUAAUCUCUCCACCUACAUUCACAAAUGACCAAUUUUUGUCAUGAGGCAUCUGUCAGAUCUCCCCCCCCCCCCUCCAGCUCCUCUCCACUCUGCUCCUGAUUUCCACCAGCUGUCGUCACUCAGCUCAUCAACCUCCUCUGCUCUUAAGGAGACUCAACUCAAUCAUUCAACGCCAGUUCGUUACCCCUUAUGGAGAAUCAUCCCACGAGUGACGCCAGUUGGAUCAUCCAUCAAGCUCUCUGAGAAGUAGAAGAUCUCUUGGCUUAUGCUGACCGCGCUUAACACCUCCAGCCACGCCACAGCCAAGCGCUCCAGCCACGCCACAGCCAAGCGCUCCAGCCACGCCACAGCCAAGCGCUCCAGCCACGCCACAGCCAAGCGCUCCAGCCACGCCACAGCCAAACGCUCCAGCCACGCCACAGCCAAACGCUCCAGCCACGCCACAAGCCUCUGUCCUGUUCGGACCUCCGCCACCACAAAAUUCAAAAGUUCCUGGAAAGAAAUAAAUCAUUUCUUACCCGCCA